rnacentral:rRNA from 1 species
AUUGAACGCUGGCGGCAGGCCUAACACAUGCAAGUCGAACGAGUGGCGGACGGGUGAGUAAUGUAUGGGAACUGCCGGAGGGAGGGGGAUAACUACUGGAAACGGUAGCUACUACCGCAUACUGUAGGAUUACAACUAUGGGAUUAGCUAGUAGGUCAGGUAAUGGCUGUCCUAGGCGACGAUCCCUAGCUGGUCUGAGAGGAUGAGUAGCCAAACUGGGACUGAGACACGGCCCAGACUCCUACGGAGGCAGCAGUGGGGAAUAUUGCACAAUGGGCGCAAGCCUGAUGCAGCCAUGCCGCGUGUAUGAAGAAGGCCCUAGGGUUGUAAAGUACUUUCAGUCGGGAGGCGUUACCGACAGAAGAAGCACCGGCUAACUCCGGGCCAGCAGCCGCGGUAAUUC